UCUUUCCAAAUCAGCAGCUCUGAGCAGGGGACAAACAGCUAGUGUUUAAACAAUGAAGAACUUUGAAUGAAGAAUUAAUGAGGUGGAGAAUCACUGCUUUAAAGCUGAAAGAAUUUCAUAACCACCCCCACAAUCAAACAAUUUCUAUUCAAAAUGGUCUCUCGGACUGAAGGAUGCAUCUGAUGUUUUCAGAUUUAAGUGGGCCCCCACCUCCACUACCCCUACUUCCGCUCAUGCCACCUCCGCACCCGGGACAAGGCUCACAAAAGCCAAUUUCCAGAGAAUGAAGAUGUAGUGGUACUUUCUGGAAUUAUCGAUCACAGUGAAACUCGGUUGAGCUCAAGCAAUUUCUCAUAUUUAAUGUCCAUUUCUCAAGACUUGGCCCAGGAUCCAAGGCAACACUUCCUCUCUCUGCAACUUGCUUUAAUCAGAAUCAUGAACAAUGCUGCAAACAAGUCGUGAGCUCGCUCUUUCUACCAACCCCAAUGUUAAAUAGUGCACCGCUGCCUCGUUUUAGCCAAUAAGCCUUUGCAUUGGAGCCUCUGGCUUUCCUGGUUGUCCUUAAUUAGAGCUCUUCAUCGUUUCCAAGAUCUCAAAAGACAAAGUGAGAAGACUUCACUGCUUUAAACCUAAGUUCAACAGAUAGGAAAUUUAUAGCCUGCAAAAUAAGUAGCCAGUGUCUAGUACACAGACGGAUGAAGUUAGAACCCCUUCAAGAGAACAGUGAAGAGAGAAAAAGGCAAGAAAAGGGCUUCCAUAGUCAUUUAUUGACUAUUAAAGUACUACCUCAGUCUCAGGUGUGGUUACCAGAGGCUGAAGAGUCUAAUGAACAGCUGGACAGCCCGGCUUCAGCUAGGUUGUCCCUUCUAAAGUUUGGAGAACUUCCCAAGAUAACACCACCAUAUGGGAAUCAAGUGUUCAUCACAUGAGCCUGGAAGGACCUUUCCGGUCAAACCAAAAUGGCUGGAUUAGAAGAGGUUCUCAAAGGUGCAGGGUCUGAGAGGACGUAGCUGAGAUAAUAGACUAGGACUCUGGGGGAAGUCCUGAAGUCGAUGACUGUUUCCCAAUGAGUGUGUAAUCAUUUCAAUAUCCCAACAAGCUGUGGAGCUUACUAUAAAUAAGAUGAUGGUCAGCCCCGAUUUUAUUGAAAGCAAAAGAGAUUAAUGUAAAAUGUGGCUGUUGUCGAAUACAGUAGCUCUCGCUGCUGUUCUCAGGCGGCGCCUCUAGUGCCCAGCAAUUGUCUCCACGGCAACUACUUAACGUUUUUCUAAGUCUCAGAUUGUAAGCAGGUGGUGAAGAAGUAAGAGUGAAGGCAAGAUUUUACAAGACAAGAAUUUCUUUUAAACACACACAAAAAAGUUUCUAAUAAAAACGCAGAUUCUUUGAUUUCUAUCUAUAAAGACUCGGCUUGCUGAAGAGAAAGCCGAACCCAAGCUGGGAAAGCAGAGAGGGCUGCUGGGAGCAGAGGUGCAGGCUGAGGAGGGGCAGAGAUAGGUGAGCAGAGGAAGAAGAGACAGACUGAGUGCCACUGAUGCUAGCUGAACCUCAUCAGUUCCCACUCCAUCAGACACAGCCAGGGACAUUCCCACCCUGCUUCCUGGUGGCAGAAAGCGACUCGCUGAAGAGCAGAGGACUGUACCAGCACUGCUGCUUCACCUGUCACUAUUGCCGGCUGCUGAAGUCACACGCACAAGUCCUGACCUUGUCAUUGAGUUCAGAUGCAUGCAUUCAAUGGAUCCAGCUCAGUAUUUCCCCUCGGAGGCUGUGAAAGGCCGAAAAGUGCCCUUGCUCUCCUCCCCUGCUAAGAAAAGCUAUUUUGGAGUCUAUGACUCUCGUUUGUUUGGGAUUAUUAAUUUGUAUUAUUAUUGUGUUUAUUUUUUAAAAAAACAUUUUCU
rnacentral:sRNA from 1 species